rnacentral:rRNA from 1 species
UACGUAGGGUGCAAGCGUUGUCCGGAAUUAUUGGGCGUAAAGAGCUCGUAGGCGGUCUGUCGCGUCUGCUGUGAAAACCUGGGGCUUAACCCCGGGCCUGCAGUGGGUACGGGCAGACUAGAGUGCGGUAGGGGAGACUGGAAUUCCUGGUGUAGCGGUGAAAUGCGCAGAUAUCAGGAGGAACACCGGUGGCGAAGGCGGGUCUCUGGGCCGAUACUGACGCUGAGGAGCGAAAGCGUGGGGAGCGAACAGG